rnacentral:rRNA from 1 species
ACUCCUACGGGAGGCAGCAGUGGGGAACUAUUGCACAAUGGGGGAAACCCUGAUGCAGCCAUGCCGCGUGUGUGAAGAAGGCCUUCGGGUUGUAAAGCACUUUCAGUAGGGAGGAAGGUAGUGUAGUUAACACCUGCAUUAUUUGACGUUACCUACAGAAGAAGCACCGGCUAACUCCGUGCCAGCAGCCGCGGUAAUACGGAGGGUGCGAGCGUUAAUCGGAAUUACUGGGCGUAAAGCGCAUGCAGGCGGCCUGUUAAGUCAGAUGUGAAAGCCCGGGGCUUAACCUCGGAAUUGCAUUUGAAACUGGCAGGCUAGAGUCUUGUAGAGGGGGGUAGAUUUCAGGUGUAGCGGUGAAAUGCGUAGAGAUCUGAAGGAAUACCAGUGGCGAA